UACGUAGAGGGCAAGCGUUGUCCGGAUUUAUUGGGCGUAAAGAGCGUGUAGGCGGCUAGGUAGGUCCGUUGUGAAAACUCGAGGCUCAACCUCGAGACGUCGAUGGAAACCAUCUGGCUAGAGUCCGGAAGAGGCGAGUGGAAUUCCUGGUGUAGCGGUGGAAUGCGCAGAUAUCAGGAGGAACACCAAUAGCGAAGGCAGCUCGCUGGGACGGUACUGACGCUGAGGCGCGAAAGCGUGGGGAGCGAACAGG
rnacentral:rRNA from 1 species